rnacentral:rRNA from 1 species
CCUACGGGAGGCAGCAGUGGGGAAUAUUGGACAAUGGGGGCAACCCUGAUCCAGCCAUGCCGCGUGUGUGAAGAAGGCCCUCGGGUUGUAAAGCACUUUCAGUGAGGAAGAACGCCUGGUGGUUAAUACCCAUCAGGAAAGACAUCACUCACAGAAGAAGCACCGGCUAACUCCGUGCCAGCAGCCGCGGUAAUACGGAGGGUGCGAGCGUUAAUCGGAAUUACUGGGCGUAAAGCGCGCGUAGGUGGCUUGAUAAGCCGGUUGUGAAAGCCCCGGGCUCAACCUGGGAACGGCAUCCGGAACUGUCUAGCUAGAGUGCAGGAGAGGAAGGUAGAAUUCCCGGUGUAGCGGUGAAAUGCGUAGAGAUCGGGAGGAAUACCAGUGGCGAAGGCGGCCUUCUGGACUGACACUGACACUGAGGUGCGAAAGCGUGGGUAGCAAACAGGAUUAGAUACCUGGGUAGUC